AUGGAGCGCUUUACUAAGGAGCAAGAGUAUGCCCUUCACUUCCUCGUCUCCCUCCAGCAAAUAUUGUUUCUCAACUUGAGCAAGCUUCAGAGCCUCCCCGAAGGGCUUCAAAAGCACACCAACCUCAAGCAAUUAGUGGUCGUCUCAUGCCCGGUUGUCCGGUCGCUGCCAGAAGAUGGCCUCCCCAAAUCACUUCAAGAAUUAAAUGUCUGCCACUGUGGCAAUGCAGAGCUAAAACAACAGUGCGAGGGGUUAGUGGGAACCAUCCCAAAAAUCAUCCUGGAACUGUGA
rnacentral:rRNA from 1 species